GACGAACGCUGGCGGCGUUCCUAAUACAUGCGAGUUGAGCGAUGAAGAUUGGUGCUUGCACCAAUUUGAAGAGCAGCGAACGGGUGAGUAACGCGUGGGGAAUCUGCCUUUGAGCGGGGGACAACAUUUGGAAACGAAUGCUAAUACCGCAUAACAACUUUAAACAUACGUUUUAAGUUUGAAAGAUGCAAUUGCAUCACUCAAAGAUGAUCCCGCGUUGUAUUAGCUAGUUGGUGAGGUAAAGGCUCACCAAGGCGAUGAUACAUAGCCGACCUGAGAGGGUGAUCGGCCACAUUGGGACUGAGACACGGCCCAAACUCCUACGGGAGGCAGCAGUAGGGAAUCUUCGGCAAUGGACGAAAGUCUGACCGAGCAACGCCGCGUGAGUGAAGAAGGUUUUCGGAUCGUAAAACUCUGUUGGUAGAGAAGAACGUUGGUGAGAGUGGAAAGCUCAUCAAGUGACGGUAACUACCCAGAAAGGGACGGCUAACUACGUG
rnacentral:rRNA from 1 species